rnacentral:tRNA from 1 species
AAUGUUAUGCCUGAUUAAAGGAUUAUUUUGAUAGAAUAAAUUAUGUAUAUAUUCUUAUACUUUCAUUA